rnacentral:rRNA from 1 species
GAUGAACGCUGGCGGCGUGCUUAACACAUGCAAGUCGAACGGUGAACGAGGGAGCUUGCUCCCUCCGGAUCAGUGGCGAACGGGUGAGUAACACGUGAGCAAUCUGCCCUGGACUCUGGGAUAAGCGUUGGAAACGACGUCUAAUACCGGAUACGAGGCGUGGGGGCAUCCCCAACGCCUGGAAAGAACUUCGGUCCAGGAUGAGCUCGCGGCCUAUCAGCUUGUUGGUGAGGUAACGGCUCACCAAGGCGACGACGGGUAGCAGGCCUGGGAGGGUGACCGGCCACACUGGGACUGAGACACGGCCCAGACUCCUACGGGAGGCAGCAGUGGGGAAUAUUGCACAAUGGGCGCAAGCCUGAUGCAGCAACGCCGCGUGAGGGACGACGGCCUUCGGGUUGUAAACCUCUUUUAGCAGGGAAGAAGCGAAAGUGACGGUACCUGCAGAAAAAGCACCGGCUAACUACGUGCCAGCCGCCGCCGUAAAAC